rnacentral:rRNA from 1 species
AUGAUCAGCCACACUGGAACUGAGACACGGUCCAGACUCCUACGGGAGGCAGCAGUGGGGAAUAUUGCACAAUGGGCGCAAGCCUGAUGCAGCCAUGCCGCGUGUGUGAAGAAGGCCUUCGGGUUGUAAAGCACUUUCAGUCGUGAGGAAGGCGGUGUCGUUAAUAGCGGCGUUGUUUGACGUUAGCGACAGAAGAAGCACCGGCUAACUCCGUGCCAGCAGCCGCGGUAAUACGGAGGGUGCGAGCGUUAAUCGGAAUUACUGGGCGUAAAGCGCAUGCAGGUGGUUUGUUAAGUCAGAUGUGAAAGCCCGGGGCUCAACCUCGGAAUAGCAUUUGAAACUGGCAGACUAGAGUACUGUAGAGGGGGGUAGAAUUUCAGGUGUAGCGGUGAAAUGCGUAGAGAUCUGAAGGAAUACCGGUGGCGAAGGCGGCCCCCUGGACAGAUACUGACACUCAGAUGCGAAAGCGUGGGGAGCAAACAGGAUUAGAUACCCUGGUAGUCCACGCCGUAAACGAUGUCUACUUGGAGGUUGUGGCCUUGAGCCGUGGCUUUCGGAGCUAACGCGUUAAGUAGACCGCCUGGGGAGUACGGUCGCAAGAUUAAAACUCAAAUGAAUUGACGGGGGCCCGCACAAGCGGUGGAGCAUGUGGUUUAAUUCGAUGCAACGCGAAGAACCUUACCUACUCUUGACAUCCAGAGAACUUUCCAGAGAUGGAUUGGUGCCUUCGGGAACUCUGAGACAGGU